rnacentral:rRNA from 1 species
GUGGGGAAUAUUGGACAAUGGGCGCAAGCCUGAUCCAGCAAUGCCGCGUGGGUGAAGAAGGCCUUCGGGUUGUAAAGCCCUUUUGUACGGGAAGAAAUCAUUCGGGUUAAUAUCCUGGGUGGAUGACGGUACCGUAAGAAUAAGCACCGGCUAACUUCGUGCCAGCAGCCGCGGUAAUACGAAGGGUGCAAGCGUUAAUCGGAAUUACUGGGCGUAAAGCGUGCGUAGGUGGUUGUUCAAGUCUGUCGUGAAAGCCCUGGGCUCAACCUGAGAAUGGCGAUGGAAACUGGGCGACUAGAGUGCGGUAGAGUAUGGCGGAAUUCCCGGUGUAGCGGUGAAAUGCGUAGAGAUCGGGAGGAACAUCCGUGGCGAAGGCGGCCAUCUGGACCAGCACUGACACUGAGGCACGAAAGCGUGGGGAGCAAACAGGAUUAGAUACCCGUGUAGUCC